ACAUCAGUACAGGUGGUGCAUGGCUGUCGUCAGCUCGUGUCGUGAGAUGUUGGGUUAAGUCCCGCAACGAGCGCAACCCUUAUUCUUAGUUGUUUCCCUUUGGGAUUACCCUCUAAGAAGACUGCCUCGGAUAACGGGGAGGAAGGUGGGAUGACGUCAAGUCCGCAUGCUCCUUACGUCUAGGGCUACACACGUCCUACAAUGGGGUCGACAAUGGGAUGCAAUAUCGCAAGAUGGAGCCAAUCCCCAAACGGCCUCUCAGUUCGGAUUGUAGUCUGCAACUCGACUACAUGAAGUUGGAAUCGCUAGUAGUGGCAGAUCAGCAUGCUGCCGUGAAUACGUUCCCGGGUCUU
rnacentral:rRNA from 1 species